rnacentral:RNase_P_RNA from 1 species
AAAGUUAGUCGGACAGUCGCACUUUUUAUAAGUGAGGAAAGUCCGGGCUUUAUAGAGCAAGAUGCCAGAUAACGUCUGGGAGGCGUGAGCCUACGGAAAGUGCAACAGAAAAUAAACCGCCUUUUUUUUACAAAAAGGUAAGGGUGAAAAGGUGUGGUAAGAGCACACCGCAUUGGUGGUAACACUCAAUGGCAUUGUAAACCCCAUCUAAAGCAAGACCAAAUAGCGCUACGAAAAUGUUGCUCGCAUUGUAGCAGGGUAGGUCGCUUGAGUUUGUUGGUGACAACAGGCCUAGAUAAAUGACUGUCUAUUACAGAACCCGGCUUAUAGACUAACUUUGUAU